AAAUUGAAGAGUUUGAUCAUGGCUCAGAUUGAACGCUGGCGGCAGGCCUAACACAUGCAAGUCGAACGGUAACAGGAAGCAGCUUGCUGCUUUGCUGACGAGUGGCGGACGGGUGAGUAAUGUCUGGGAAACUGCCUGAUGGAGGGGGAUAACUACUGGAAACGGUAGCUAAUACCGCAUAACGUCGCAAGACCAAAGAGGGGGACCUUCGGGCCUCUUGCCAUCGGAUGU
rnacentral:rRNA from 1 species